CAGAUCACAUGAGGUCAGGAGUUUGAGACCAGCCUGGCCAACAUGGCGAAACCCCAUCUCUACUAAAAAUUCAAAAAUUAGCCGGGCGUGGUGGCGCAUGCCUGUAGUCCCAAGUACUUGAGAGGCUGAGAUACAAGAAUCGCUUGAACCCAGGAGGCGGAGUGAGCUGAGAUCGCGCCACUGCACUCCAGCCUGGGAGACACGGUCAUACUCACCAGGACACUUCUUCUCAGCAGCCCAGUGAAAAGGGGAGAUGCUAUAAAAUAUGUACCUAACAAAGCUUGUCAGCAGCUUGAAUGGAGCAAACCAGUCCAGAUCUGAGAAUUCUAGGAAAUAAAUGAAGUUGAACAUUUACUGCCAACAACCAUGUCACUGGGGCCACAGACAACUGGAGCCGCGCAGCUGGGAAGGGGAGGAGUCUGUAGCCAGAGAAGGCAGUGGAAUGCACCCAGGUUGGAUUAUUUAUGGUGUGCUGAUGAAGAGGCAACUUUCCAUAUGAGGAGCAGCUUAACAGAGGAAUAGUCAAGCUAAACUAGGAAGAGGUCCAGUGAGAGAGAGAGAGAGCAACAAAAGCAGACGUGAAUAAAAAUGACAGUGCCUUGACGUAGGACUGUCACCCCCAUUUCACAGAGGAGAGAAUGGAGCCUAAGAGGGGACACUCUCUCAAUGCCACACACAGAUUUUAUUGAAUGUACCAGAAUGGGCUUGCAGACAGAUGCAACGACACAUCAGGGGCCUUACUCACAUUUCUGCUCUCAUGGGGUCAUGUGCAUUAUCAACUGAUGUCCCACAAUGGAGGAUGAAGAUUUACUUCCUCUCUCAUCAAUAAAAAUGUCGGAUAAUUUUUGUGAGUACACAAUUCCAGCUUGAAAAUUAAAGGCAAUGUUCCACUAUAUUCUGGUUUCCAACGUUGGUGUGAAGAAAUCCAAAGCCACUGAUACAGUCAUAAGAAAAAGAUUUGAUUCUUUCUACAUCAAGCAGAACAUCCUUGGAAUUUCUAGCCUGGAUUUCCAAUGCUAACAGAAUGUUCAGAAGGCAUUCAGGCCAGUGAAGUUACCAUCACAACAAAGAUGAAUGCUUUUCAAAAAAGAAUUGCAUUAUUUGCUAAUAACUGAUACUUAGCAGCAAAAUAAAAGCCAUAAAAUAAAGAGGCUGUCAUUUACACUUCCAUAAUAUAG